AAGUCGUAACAAGGUUUCCGUAGGUGAACCUGCGGAAGGAUCAUUAAUGAUUAAAGAAUGGCUUCCUUCAUGCCGUUCACCCGCAAGGGCGGCGGCCUGGAGGAAAACCAGAACCCCCAUCUCGCGCAUUCGUUAGCCGUAGCCGGCGUGAUUCUCUCGGUCCUUCCUCCGGGAAGGAGGCGAGAGUGGCCGGCGCCCCCCCUUCCUUCGGGCGGGGUGGGGCACCUUAUCAAUUUCAACUCCGAUUCUUGAAUUUUCUUUGUUUCGCUUGGGCUCGCCCCGGUGCGGAAAAGGAAACCAAAAUCAAAAAUACACAACUUUUGGCAACGGAUCUCUAGGCUCUGAC
rnacentral:misc_RNA from 1 species